rnacentral:rRNA from 1 species
UCCAGACUCCUACGGGAGGCAGCAGUGAGGAAUAUUGGUCAAUGGCCGAGAGGCUGAACCAGCCAAGUCGCGUGAGGGAAGACGGCCCUACGGGUUGUAAACCUCUUUUGUCGGGGAGCAAAAAGGCCUCGUGAGGCCACAAGUGAGAGUACCCGAAGAAAAAGCAUCGGCUAACUCCGUGCCAGCAGCCGCGGUAAUACGGAGGAUGCGAGCGUUAUCCGGAUUUAUUGGGUUUAAAGGGUGCGUAGGCGGACUGGAAAGUCAGCGGUAAAAUCGAGAGGCUCAACCUCUUUCCGCCGUUGAAACUGUCGGUCUUGAGUGGGCGAGAAGUAUGCGGAAUGCGUGGUGUAGCGGUGAAAUGCAUAGAUAUCACGCAGAACUCCGAUUGCGAGGGCAGCAUACCGGCGCCCGACUGACGCUGAGGCACGAAAGCGUGGGUAUCGAACAGGAUUAGAUACCCUUGUAGG